UUAUUUAUUUUUUUCUUAAUAAAUAUUAACUUGACAAUCAAAAACCAAACAUACACAGAUUUAAAUUGAAGCUAAUUUUUUCAACACAGUUUAUUACACUUAAUCUUUACAUGUAAGGAAACAAUCUGAUAUUCCUGUGUAGGAGUGAAAGUGGAUGAGCCAUGAUGUUGGACCGGUCAGUUUUUUGCCUGCUGCUGUUUGUUUCCCUGAGCAACUCUCAGAGCACGGCUCCAUCUAAGCAGGAAGUCGGCCUCCAUCAUGUCCCAGCAGCUUCUCCUCACCCUGCUCCUCGCAUAGGAGACCUGCUGAAGAAAGAGGAAAAUCUAAAUACCAUGAAGACAUAUGCUCAUGUGGACAAAGAUAAUGCCAAAGCUGGCCUGUUCAUCGCUGCAGCUCUAGGGACGUUCUCCCUGAUGGUGGCACUGUAUUGUAUUUACAACAACUUUUACGUCAAACACCAGUACUUACACACUCAACUCACUGACGAUCCAGAAGACCCUCCCUCAGAUGCCACUGAUCCUCCACCAGUGGUUUUCCACGGCUCGGUUCAACACAGCGCAUUAGACGUAAUGAAAGCUGGUUACGGCUCCCUUUCCCAUUCUCCAUCCAUUAUCUCUAUCCCACCCAGUCUGUCCCCUCCUCCCUCCUCCAUGCCCUUCCCUCCCCGCUUCCUCUCUUCUUCCUCUCACUCCUUGAGAACUAUAUCAGCCAAGGACCUGGAGAAGAACUGCAUCUGAAGCAAACUCUCAUUACAUUGCUGCAUGAUGGAUGAUUUGUGUAAAACUGUAUGUGGGAUUUCUUUUCCUACAUCUCCUGCAUGUGACCUAGGGUUGAAUUAAGAACUAUAGAGUUUGCAUGUUCUCCAUGGCCUUGUUUAAGUUUUUUUUUUAUACCUCUCACACAUUGAGUUAAAAGCCUUAAGGGUGUGUGGGAAUGAGUAAAUUCAGCAUCCACUGACCUGCAGAAUUAGCAGGAAUUUGAGAAAUGUACAUGUUUUAAUAUAAAAUCAUAGUAAAUAAAUCAAAACAAAUAAAAGUGAAAGGAUCCA
rnacentral:lncRNA from 1 species